CCUUUAAGUCAGUUGAGUGAAGAAACUAUGGAAAUACAAGAGAGCAACAGAGAUUUCACGCUACGAUGUGCUUUUGAGAUAGGGAGGACGCCAGACAGCUGGGUGAUACAGGAGCAAUCACAAAGGAUAGAUGCCCAUUUAGGUCCUGUUUCUGACUUUAAAGUACCUCUGUGGAUAAAGGCUUCAAAGGAUCCCCCAAAGUGCCCAAGGCUUUUGAAAAAUGUAUACAUCCUUAUCAACAUCAGACAGAAGAUUUGAAAUAACAAAUAAAAAAAACAAAAAUGUGA